rnacentral:lncRNA from 1 species
GCUGAUCCCCGCUGAGUAUGUUUGCUAUCAACGCAACCCGGUGUGUAGAGUACUGUAUUUGUUAGUAGCUGCAGUAUGAUUAAAAAAUGCAUUGUGCUUUAGACUAAUGGUGAAUAAGCAAAAAUGCUUGUCAAUUCGGAUGUAAUAUUGGUAUAUUUACCGUAAAUGGCGUAUUUGUGUUUUUUUUUUCUCCAACACAAUGUCUGGAGUCCCAGUGUUGGAUACGCUCUUCCUACUUAUGUCCUUGAGCGAGACACUGAGCCUUCACUUCCAGUGUGUUUUCCUGCUCCCUCAGGUCACACAAGGAAGCAGGGACAGAGAAUGUGGGCAUAUGAGAGAAGGAAAGGAAAUGAAGGAGAACACACGAGGAAACCGACACAAAGCCACAGUGAGAAGUAGGGAGACGAUGGGGAGGUGCCACGUCAUGCCUGAAGCUCCAGAGCAUUCACAGUCUCGCUCAAGGAUGCUUCAACCAGGACCUACGCCCGCUGUCAAGUGGCUUGAACCCAGGUCUUCCAGACGAAGGUCGCUCCACUUAAUCACUGCCUCUGCAGAAUGGGAGCGUCAUGAUAUAUGUAACCAGACCACUGACAGCGCGUCUGCAGACGGAAGCAGCAGCUGGGUAAACAUACAGUAAUGAGAGGAGGCCAACGUGGACCCCUGCACUUACACACCGCUCCUCACCUGGAUCAGGUGUGUUCAGCCCGUCAGAACCUGUAGAACCAGUAGAACCAGCAGGACUCUGGGUCCGGACCGGAACUCAAGCACACGAAUCACACGCAGAGGAAGACGACGCUUUAGUGGUGAUGUAGCUGCCGACCCAACGCGGGACUUCACAUUAGAUUUAUUCAAUAUAAUACAAAGUUCAAUUCAGAUCCCACGUGAAUUAUAAUGAAUAUAAUGUAACUAACCGAUCAUGAC